GGCAUGCGAGCUACCUGCAGUCGGACGGUAGCACAGAGAACUUGGUUCUUUGUGAGACGAGUGGCACACGGGUGAAAAGUGUCUGGGUCUCUGCCCGAUAGAGGGAGAUAACCUGUGGAAACGGUGUCUAAUACCGUAUAAUGUCACAAGACCAAAGAGGGAGAUCUUCGGCUCUCUCUCUCUCAUAUGACCCCAUAUGGUUUUAUCUAGUACGCGGUAUAGUGCCCCCUCUACGACAAUAUCCCUAUGUGCUCUGAGAAGAAGACCACCCACUGUGGAUCUGACACACGCCCCACACUCCUACGGGAGGCAACAGUGGAAAAUUUUGCACAGUGGGCGCACGCCUGAUGCACCCGUGCCGCGUGUAUGAAAAAGGUCUUCGGUGUGUAAAGUUUUUUCCGCGGGGAAGAGGGCUGUGCGUUUAAUACCCGCCGCUAGUGACUUUACCCGCAGAAGACGCCCCGGAUAUCUCCGUGCCCAGACCCGCGAUAAUACAGAGUGUGAGCGCGUUACUCAGAUAUAGUGCGCAUAGAGCGCACGCGGGGUCUGUGAUGACUGAGAUGUGAUCUCCCCGGUCUUACUGUGAGCUCUGCAUGAGACUCUGAGGGGCGUGACUCGUGUAGAGGGGUAUAAAAUUAGGUGUGUAGCGGAGAAGUGCAUAGAGAUCUGGAAGAAUACCUGUGGAGAGCGGCCCCCCGUGCACAGAGAGUGACUCUCGUGUGCAAAAGCGUGGAGAGAAAACGGGAAGAGACACUGUGAGUCUACACGGCAUACACGAUGUCGACGGGGGGGUGCCCCUUGAAGAGUGUCCCCAGAUCUCACGUUAAACUACACCCCUGGAGACACGGCAAAUUUAAUCUCAUAAGAUUGACGGCCCCGCAAAGGGGGAUGUGUGUUUAUUCUGUGCACGAGAAAUUUACCACUCUGACCCCAGGAUUCACAAUGUCUUUAGCGUCUCGGACGAGCACAGUGUGCGGUGUGUCUCUCUCGUGUGAAAUGUGUUACUCCGCAGAGCACACCCUAUCUUUGUGCCGCUAUCCCGAACUCAGAGAAUGCGUAAACGAGAGAGGGGAGAGACUCACUCUCGGCUUCGAUGGCACCCGCGCACAUGCGACCAGAAAGCACUCCGAGACACGACUCAAAGGCGCAACCGGACGAUUGACUCAUCCGGAUCGAUGUAUACGGAUAAAUGCCGGAAAGUCCGGCUGUCACCCCCCCUCCCCUGAAGGGGAAGAGAGGAUUAUCUCGAGGGCUCCCUUGAA
rnacentral:rRNA from 1 species